UAUUUUUUUCUUCAAUCUCCUGAGGGAAAUUUACCCAUGAUUCCACAGUUUUUCCCAGGAUACACUUCUGCAAAGCCCCUCCUAUCUCCUCACUCCCAGGUUUGAGACUACAGGGAGAAGGAGCCAUUUUACAGUCAGCUCUGUGGAAUCGUUUUUUUAGGAAAAUUCCUGCGUUUUAAAACACAUUCCUAUUUUUGUACUGACUACAAUGAUGGAGCCUUUUUCUGACCAGAUUGUGAUGUUCAUGCUGGCUGCAAGCAUGAUGGAGGAAGAAAGUGCUGAUGAACAUCAGGAUCCAGGUCAGCAAAUGUCUGCAUUGGGUGAGCCAGUAUUGCGGGUUUCAUUUCCACGUCCACGCCAGUAUCGCACUAGGCGUGAACUGGAGGAUCUCAGCGAGUUCGAGGUGAUACAAAAUUAUCGCUUAUCGACUCGCGACAUAUAUUCGCUGUACGCUCUGUUGGAGGCCGACUUGGAACCUCGGGCACGGACAAAUCGUGCAAUCAGCGGUUUUCAGAAACUGCUGGGGACGUUACAUUUUUUGGCGUCCGGCACAUUCCAGCCUACACUGUCUCAAACAUGCGGUUUUUCACAGUCGACACUGUCGCGCUGUAUAACCCAGGUCAUUAGGGCUUUCCGCAAAUUGACGAUCCAGUACAUCACAUUUCCAGAGACGGACAGCGAAUGUCGUGAGAUCAAAUUAGGCUUUUUCAACAAAUACAAAUUUCCCAAUGUGCUGGGCGCGAUUGACUGUACCCACGUGCAGAUCAGACCGCCACGGAAUUCAGAGGAAUGUUUUCGGAACUGAAAACAGUUCCAUUCCCUGAACGUGCAGGCGGUCUGUGAUGUAAACAUGAGAUUUUUGAACAUUUUUGUGGGAUUUCCUGGAUCAUCUCACGACUCCUUCAUCCUAAGCCAGUCAUCGCUGUUUGACAAGUUUGAAACUGGAAACAUGCCUGGUGGCUGGCUGUUAGGCGAUGCGGGUUAUCCAAACAAACCGUGGCUGUUGACCCCAUUGUCUAAUCCUGUUGGUAGAGCAGAAAAACGUUACCAAGAGACACACAUUGCAUCGAGGGGAGUAAUUGAGCGUGCCUUCGGUGUACUUAAAAGCCGGUUUCGAUGUUUAGACACUUCCGGCGGUGCUCUUUUGUACUCACCGUCGAAGGUUUGCGGCAUGGUAAAUGCAUGUUGUAUUUUACACAACAUAUGUGUCGCAAACCGUUUGCCGGUGACUCUUCGUCGCAGUGCUUUCCGACGCGGGAACCGGUCUUCUGCUCUACCGGUGGGUAUGGACGAAGGAGAGGAUUCCCGGCGGACAUUGAUCCAAAAUUAUUUUGCAGUUGCCUAGUUUUACAUCCUGUUGAUGUAUAUCCCCAGGCCAUGUUUGUACAGUUCGUUACCCCGUUUUAUCCUGUUGUUGGGUUCCCGCAAAUAUUUGAUCCUUUUAUCCAACUCUACCAUGGGUGAACCUACUGGUGAUGUGGACCUGACCCUCCGCCAUGUAGCAGACAAACCCCCCCUCAGGUGAGAUGUAU